GACAGAGGUCCCGAGCGUUAGGCGGAAUCACUGGGCUUAAAGCGUGUGUAGGCGGAGUUCUAAGUACCUUGUGAAAUCCCACGGCUUAACCGUGGAACUGCUUGGUAUACUGGUUCUCUUGAGCCACCUAGGGGCAACCGGAACAAACGGUGGAGCGGUGAAAUGCGUAGAUAUCGUUUGGAACGCCAAUGGUGAAAACAGGUUGCUGGGGGUGUGCUGACGCUGAGACACGAAAGCCAGGGGAGCGAACGGG
rnacentral:rRNA from 1 species